UUUGUUUGCAUUUGUCUAGGGAUUGGUUUUAGAUGCAUCCAAAACCAUUUUCAUUAGCGCUAAAAUUGGUGAAUUGAUUUGCAUUUUCCUGCAGGUUUGGUUUUGGACGCGUCCGAAACCAUUCUCAUGAGCUAUAAAUUGGCUAAUUUGUUUGCAUUUGUCUAGAGAUUGGUUUUAGAUGCAUCCAAAACCAUUUUCAUUAGCCCUAAAAUUGGUGAAUUGAUUUGCAUUUUCCUGCAGGGUUGGUUUUGGACGCAUCCAAAACCAUUCUGAUGAGCUAUACAUUGGCAAAUUUGUCUAGGG